CCCUUCCGUACCCGCCCGCCCAUUCGUCAUUCCCCUGAUCUUGGUGGAGAUGGAAUCCCCUCCCUCCGCGCCCGCCUCUGAUGGAUUCCCUUCCCCUCCCUCCGCACCAUCACCGGCAAUCACGCUAUCUUCCAUCCCGAUCCAUUUUUUCGGCCACCAGAGAUCACGCACCCCUCCGCUCUCUCUUGCGGGUCGCGCCCACUCACCUCCUCCCCUUCCCCCUCUCGCCUCCGACGACGGAGCGGCCUGCGUAGCCAGGCGGGGCCGCGGCUCGCGACCAGCACAGCCGGGCAGGGGCGCGCGCAGCCCUGCGGUGAGCGCGCGGCAGCCCCGGUUGCUUGCCGGCGGCGAGUGGGCCCCGGAUGGGCUGCCGCCCCGCUCCCGCACCUCCGCUGCGCAUCCCCGGGCCCUGCUGCCCUCUUCCCCGGCCGAAGGAGAAGCCCCGCCGCCGGUCCCAACCCCUCGCACAUCGACGGCCUCCUUCCCGUUCUCCUCCGCCCAAACCGAAGGUGAAGGUCGGGAGCACGCCCAGGAGCUCGGUGGGCUCCUCCGACUAGGCACAUUCUGCCGCAACUCCUCCCCCACGGCCAAGUCUGCACCACCCGCUGUACAUUCAGGUGGCAAGGUAGAGUUGAAGAGGAGAGGAAGCUUGCACUGGACAAAUAGGUAAAGAGCUUACAUCAGAGAUACCUCUUCAUUUUAGUGAGUGGUGCAAGAGUUGGACAGACAGGUGUAUCCGGCCUCGCCCAUUUGGUGAGCUUGAGAUUCGUCACCCUGCGCGUUCAAUUGCUUAGGGCGUUUCGGGAUGUGGGCAAAGCGCAGGUUGAAUCAUUCAGGGUUAGAGUGGAGGUGAUGGAGGGGGCUUUCGGCGCCUGUGAAUCGCUACUGUAGGUGGCUAGCCAUCCACGGAGGAAGAGCUUCAUGAAUAUGAUGGCUUGGCUGCGUCCUAACAUCACAACAUCAGCUGCAAUUUAUGGGAUGGAUGGCCUUGGUGUGCCGAUGGAUGAUAGUGGUAAUGCUGAUUGCACACCGAAAAGUGAUUCACAGUUUGAUCUUGCUGCUUUUUAUGAGGCAGUUAAGCCUUCGAUGUGAGUAUCUUGCAUCUUACUAUUACUCUAAGCUCAUAAUCAUGUGCUUUAACAUGAAUGUAGGGGAGCAUUUAAACUCAGAUGGAAGUUGGUCUUCCUAAUUUGGUUCCUCAGCUCAGGCCAUAUCAACUCCGUGCAGCACAUUGGAUGGUUCAACGUGAAAAGGGAAAUAUUCUCCAUCAUGAAUAUGUUAAUUCUACACCAUAUUGUGUUCCUAUCGAUUUUAUUCACGAGAACUCCAGGAUGUUCUACAUUCCUUUCAACGGAAAUAUUUCAUUGCGACAGGAGCCUUCUCAACCUUAUGUUUCUGGGGGCAUUUUGGCUGGUGUGUUGGUAACAACUGUGAUAAUAAAUUCAUGAUUAAACUGCUUUCAUGGUUUUAACUUCUGUGAAUAGUUGCCGCUGACAUUCCUUUUGUGUGCUCGAUUGAUUAUAGAUGAAAUGGGCUUGGGCAAAACUGUCGAGCUUUUAGCUUGCAUUUUUUCCCCCAUAGUAGGUCAUCUUCAAUUGGCCUUUCUAUAUCCCAGAACAAAACUGAAAUGGCUCAAAUAAAGAGGUAGAAAGUAGAAAGGGUUGAGUGCGUUUGUGGGGCUGUGAGUGAAAGUUCUGCAUGCAAGGGUCUGUGGGUCAAAUGUGACAUUUGUGAUGCCUGGCAACAUGCUGAUUGUGUUGGUUACACAGCCAAAGAACAUAUACAUUUUGAUAACACUGCUGAAGAUGUAGCAUCAAAAAAUGAAAAAAAAUGACAAGAAGCCUGGGAUUAGAAGGAAAAAGAAACCCAAGUGCUCUAUUGUUGAUACAAAAGACAUAUAUGUUUGUGCCCUGUGCUUGGAACGAAACUUUGUUAUUUAUUAAUGAGAUUUUCAUUAGUAACUUGCUAGAUAAAUCAUUCCUUUAUUUUCUUGUAAUGUUGAUAUGAUAUUAUGUUGUUUAGGUCAACGAGUAUUGAGCUUGUACGUAGGUACAGAGGUAUUGCGCCUAGCAGAUUUGCAGAAGAACGAUGGCCUUGUUUGGUCGUGUGCAUAUAAAUAUGCACAUGGCCAUGGUUGAUUACACUUGCAUCUUUGCACAUGAUGGUCCGGUGCCGGUGGCUUAUGACUAUUGAUGACGACAACUGAGCAACAUACAUCGAUGGUGACAACGUUCAGCAAUGCAGGAACCAUGCAACGACAUGUAUAUGAGGCGAGAAGCGUGCGGACGGGGGAGGCAUGGCUAGCGAAACGGUGAGAAAGCAUGCGGCAAGCUAGACAUCGCCUAUCCAGGCCCUAGGGAAGAACACAACUUCACCUCCUACUCGGCGAGAGCUAUUUGGAGCGUUAUUCAGUUAGUUUGCAGCGAAUAAAACAUAAUGCAUUAUUCGAAAAGCAGUCGUGUGCAUAGCAGUAUCAUAUUUCAAACAUAUUUUUAUAAUUAUAUACUCAUACAUACCAUUAUACCCUAUCUUAUACAUAGCAUUUACCUAUUUUUAUAA